rnacentral:rRNA from 1 species
AUCGAACGCUAGCGGCAGGCCUAACACAUGCAAGUCGCACGAGUGGCGGACGGGUGAGUAAUGUCUGGGAAACUGCCUGAUGGAGGGGGAUAACUACUGGAAACGGUAGCUAAUACCGCAUACCAUCAGAUGUGCCCAGAGGGGAUUAGCUAGUUGGUGGGGUAACGGCUCACCAAGGCGACGAUCCCUAGCUGGUCUGAGAGGAUGACCAGUCACACUGGAACUGAGACAAGGGCCAGACUCCUGCGUGAGGUAGCAGAGGGGAAUAUGGCACAAUGGGCGCAAGCCUGAUGCAGCCAUGCCGCGUGUAUGAAGAAGGCCUUAGGGUUGUAAAGUACUUUCAGCGGGGAGGCGUUACCCGCAGAAGAAGCACCGGCUAACUCCGUGCCAGCAGCCGCGGUAAUAC